GAAAAAGAAAAAUAAAUUUGUGCUUAGCAAUCAUUUCAGCAAAUACCACGAAAGACCAUUCACAGUGCUGCAACAAGGCUUAGCCAUUUCAUGGGCGACACAACUGCCUUGUCUUGGAUUAAAAGAUCAUUCACAGUGCUGGGACAAGGCUUGUUAAGAAAAGCAAUCCUGCAAUGCAACACCAAGGCUAGCAUGGAAACAUUCCCCGUUACUCAACUGAUCAAUCAGUGA
rnacentral:misc_RNA from 1 species